GGAUACGGAAUUCACCUUCUCCUAUGAACACACUGAAUCUGCAACUACGCAAGGAACUACUUUUCUGAGAAAACAAACAAACAAACUACUGACUGGCUGAGCCGCUCCUAGCAUCAGGCAAAAGAGAGAAGGUUCAUAUCAAAGCAGAUGAAGUUAUGCAUUAAAUACAGAAGGGCCAAAAGAAGCAAUUGACUCUGCCUGGAAAAAGGCCAUGAGGAAGAAUAAGGGGAAUCUUAAGUAUGCACAGCUCACCAAUGAGAAGAAUGGACAACAAGCAUAAGAAAUAUAACAGCCUUUGGGAAAGAAGAAUUUGAGAACCUAACCUCUGCUCUCCAAGACUCAAAUUAAGGAAAUUAGCAGAACAGACUGAAUUGCCCUCUCUGAGGUCCACUGGCAGAAAUGGAUUCUAAAGGUCCCCAAAAGGAGUGAACCCAGUGGGAAAGGGCAGUUUGGACUGUUGACAUGGAACCUUGGGGUUCCCAGGAAAUAGGCCAGGGCUGGUUAUAGCACAGUGAGUCUGCAGCAGGAAGCCCUUUGGGAUCCAACUAGCUUGCUUUAGGAAAAAAUGGUUGAGCGUGUCAGUUAUUCUAACUCAAUACCUCUCAGUACUGUGGUCACCACAGGGCUGGCAAGGGCAUCUCUACAGAGUGGAACUAACAUUCUCAGUCUUGCGUGUGACCUAUCAUGAACAGUGUCACGAGGUGCAACAAGAAGCAAUAACAAGAGUAGACUCAUGAACUUCCAGUUGUCUCUCAGUCUGGCAUUUGAAAAUAGGAUUGAAAUUUCACUCUAUUAGAACUGAGUAAAUCCUAAGGUUUUCGGGCAAAUUUAAUGUCAAACAAUGCAAAAACACCUAAUGUUCUUCCAGCAAUUAAGAACUUUGGAAACAUUAGCUAUUAAUUUAAUUUAUAAUAGAAUUAUUUAUACAUAUAUCCCCCCAGUUGAUGAAAAAUACUUAUAUUGGCUUUUCUGCUUACCUGUCUUCCUGUCCCAGCUGCCUCACUCUUGUUCCUCAGAAUCAUCUCCCAAAUGAACCACCUAUACCCAAGUGUUUGCCUCAAGUUCUGCUUUGGAGAGAAUAUAAACUAAGACAAGGACUUUGAGAAGCAUCAGUGAGAUAAACAAAUUCCGAAGAGGGACAAAAACUUGAGCAGGAGCAAAAAGUGGAAUAGAGGAUGCUAUUAAAAGCAUCUAAGUAGACUGGCAUGGCUCUAACACAGGCUUUGGAGUAAUGCAAUGGUGAAGAGUCCACUAGAUAGAAAAAUUUUGUGAGAACUCAGGCUAGAAAAUUCCAAACUGUAGAGUGAUUUCCAUGUCAAGCUGAAGAGUUUGGACAUGAUUUUUUAAACAUAAUUAUUCAUAGCAGGUUUUUGAGUAGUGAAAUGGCAUGUUCAGAUUAUCUAUUUCAGGAAGACAGUUACAACGGAAGUAUGGAGGACAGAGAAAACUGGAGAAAUAGAAAGACAAGUUAAGAGACUACCUCAGUGUCCCAGGUGAGAAAAAAAAAUGAGGCAUUGAACUAAGUUGUGGUGAUAGAAGGGAAAAGGAGGGUAAAUAUUUGAGAGAUAUUUAAGAGAUAGAAUCAGCUGGAAGG